rnacentral:rRNA from 1 species
GAUGAACGCUGGCGGCGUGCCUAAUACAUGCAAGUCGAGCGAACGGACGAGAAGCUUGCUUCUCUGAUGUUAGCGGCGGAUGGGUGAGUAACACGUGGAUAACCUACCUAUAAGACUGGGAUAACUUCGGGAAACCGUAGCUAAUACCGGAUAAUAUUUUGAACCGCAUGGUUCAAAAGUGAAAGACGGUCUUGCUGUCACUUAUAGAUGGAUCCGCGCUGCAUUAGCUAGUUGGUAAGGUAACGGCUUACCAAGGCAACGAUGCAUAGCCGACCUGAGAGGGUGAUCGGCCACACUGGAACUGAGACACGGUCCAGACUCCUACGGGAGGCAGCAGUAGGGAAUCUUCCGCAAUGGGCGAAAGCCUGACGGAGCAACGCCGCGUGAGUGAUGAAGGUCUUCGGAUCGUAAAACUCUGUUAUUAGGGAAGAACAUAUGUGUAAGUAACUGUGCACAUCUUGACGGUACCUAAUCAGAAAGCCACGGCUAACUACGUG